rnacentral:rRNA from 1 species
GGGAAACAACCCAGACCAACAGCUAAGGCCCCCAAUUCGUGGCUAAGUGGGAAAGGAUGUGGAAAUCCCAAAACAACCAGGAGGUUGGCUUAGAAGCAGCCAUCCUUUAAAGAAAGCGUAACAGCUCACUGGUCUAAAUAAGGGUUUCCGCGCCGAAGAUGUACCGGGGCUCAAGCCACGAGCCGAAGCUUUGGGUUUGUCCGCAAGGGCAAGCGGUAGCGGAGCGUUCUGUAAGCCUGCGAAGGGACAGCCGUGAGGCAUCCUGGAGGUAUCAGAAGUGCGAAUGCUGACAUGAGUAACGACAAACAGAGUGAAAGACUCUGUCGCCGAAAGUCCAAGGGUUCCUGCGUAAAGUUAAUCUUCGCAGGGUUAGCCGGCCCCUAAGGCGAGGCCGAAAGGCGUAGUCGAUGGGAACCACGUUAAUAUUCGUGGGCCAGUGGAUGGUGACGCGUUGCGAAAGUUGUUCGGGAUUACUGGAUUUCCCGGGCAACCUGGUGGCGCCAGGAAAUAGCCUCCACAUUAGACCGUACCCGAAACCGACACAGGUGGACUGGUAGAGUAUACCAAGGCGCUUGAGAGAAUGACGUUGAAGGAACUCGGCAAUUUACCUCCGUAACUUCGGGAUAAGGAGGCCUUCGGUUCGCGCAAGCGGGCUGGAGGGGCACAGACCAGGGGGUGGCAACUGUUUAACAAAAACACAGGGCUCUGCGAAAUCGCAAGAUGACGUAUAGGGUCUGACGCCUGCCCGGUGCCGGAAGGUUAAGAGGAGGAGUGCAAGCUCUGAAUUGAAGCCCCGGUAAACGGCGGCCGUAACUAUAACGGUCCUAAGGUAGCGAAAUUCCUUGUCGGGUAAGUUCCGACCUGCACGAAUGGCGUAAUGACUUCCCCGCUGUCUCCAACGUCAGCUCAGUGAAAUUGAAUUCCCCGUGAAGAUGCGGGGUUCCUGCGGUCAGACGGAAAGACCCCGUGCACCUUCACUGUAACUUUGCACUGGCAUUCGUGUCGGCAUGUGUAGGAUAGGUGGUAGGCUAUGAAGCGUGGGCGCCAGCUCGCGUGGAGCCGUCCUUGAAAUACCACCCUUAUCUAUAUGGAUGUCUAACCGCGCGCCGUUAUCCGGCGCCGGGACAGUGCAUGGUAGGCAGUUUGACUGGGGCGGUCGCCUCCCAAAGAGUAACGGAGGCGCGCGAUGGUG